rnacentral:rRNA from 1 species
UACGUAGGGUGCGAGCGUUAAUCGGAAUUACUGGGCGUAAAGCGUGCGCAGGCGGUUCGUUAAGACAGAUGUGAAAUCCCCGGGCUUAACCUGGGAAUGGCGUUGAAGACUGUGUGACUAGAGUCGGACAGAGGGUCGUGGAAUUUCCGGUGUAGCGGUGAAAUGCGUAGAGAUGUGGAGGAACACCAGUGGCGAAGGCGACUCUUUGGUCUGUAACUGACGCUGAGGCGCGAAAGCGUGGGGAGCAAACAGG